UUCCCAUAAGCGUUCUUUCUAUAUAUCCUGGUGUCUCUGUCAUUACUAUUUUGUUAUCUAUUAAUUGUUUUGAUAUAUAUCCUAUCCAUAAUUGGAUUGUUUUAUUUAUAUCUGCUACACAGUCUAAAUCUAAAAAAUCAUGUUGUCCAGUUAUUGGUUUAGGCGUCCAUUUUUUAUUUAAUCUUUUAUCCCAUGUAGUUUUUUCUCUGCCAUAUUGUUCAUAGUUUUCAUUAUAAUGUUUUAGAUUUAAAUUUUUUGGGUUUUUUACUCCUGAUGUGCUAGGUUUUUCGUCCAUGUCUACGUCUUCUGUAUUUACUUCUAAAUUCUUUGUAUUAUCUAUGUUUGCUAAAAGUUCCGUAUAUGUUUCGCUUGUUUCCAAAUGUUGUUC
rnacentral:lncRNA from 1 species